rnacentral:rRNA from 1 species
UACGAAGGGGGCAAGCGUUGUUCGGAAUGACUGGGCGUAAAGGGCGCGUAGGCGGAUGGCACAGUCAGAUGUGAAAUUCCCGGGCUUAACCUGGGGGCUGCAUUUGAUACGUGUGAUCUAGAGUGAGGAAGAGGGUCGUGGAAUUCCCAGUGUAGAGGUGAAAUUCGUAGAUAUUGGGAAGAACACCGGUGGCGAAGGCGGCGACCUGGUCCUUGACUGACGCUGAGGCGCGAAAGCGUGGGGAGCAAACAGG